rnacentral:rRNA from 1 species
UACGGAGGGGGCUAGCGUUGUUCGGAAUUACUGGGCGUAAAGGGCCAGUAGGCGGCCAACUAAGUCGGAUGUGAAAUCCCCAGGCUCAACUUGGGAACUGCAUCCGAUACUGGAUGGCUUGAAUUCGGGAGAGGGAUGCAGAAUUCCAGGUGUAGCGGUGAAAUGCGUAGAUAUCUGGAGGAAUACCGGUGCGAAGGCGGCUCACUGGCCCGGUACGUGACGCUGAGGUGCGGAAAGCGUGGGGA